AGUGGGGAGGGCGACCGAUUGGUCAGAACCCUAGCUGCCAGUCCCCCUCGAUCUCACGCCCCUCUCCUUCGUCCCCUCCCCUCCGUGCUCCUGUCCUCCCCACCUCGUCAUUCUUCUCCUGCCGCCCAGCCGGCCGCCACCGCUCUCCCUGCCGAGCUGGCCGCUACCGCUCUCCCCGCCGAGUUGCCGUCCUCACACGCGAUCGUCCUUGCCAUUCUAUCAGUGGAAAGCUCCACCAUGACGGCAUCGACCGGAUCCGGUGUUGUUGUGCGUGAGGAGGACGGACAUGGGAAAGGCGCAACAAGGCAGCAUUGGCGUCGCUGUGGUGAUGUGCGUGAGGAGGACGGAUGUGGGGAAGGUGCAACAAGCCGGCCCUCGCGUCGCAGUAGAGUGGAGCCGGCCAUCACUGUCGACCACUGCUCGUCGGUCGUCGUCCCUCAUCCACCAUCUAGCAAGAUGUUUGUAGAUCAGGUGAAGAAGAGAGGAAGGAUCUUGAGGAAGAGUCGAGAACAAGGUGAACCUCUUUGCCAUCGCAACCCGGCGGCACAGGCGACAAUGAGCAGCAAGAAGAGGUCGUCAAGGGAAGCUGACCUACAGUGACCACGCUCCACGACGCCCUCCCAAUCAGACUCCUCUUUUUCCUCGCUCAUGCCCUAUUGCGUCAACGGUUGUGGCCUGCUCCCAGGCUGCAUGUGAGAAGGUUGCUAGAGCUGUUGAACGGCACGAACAGUUUUUCUACAGAUGAGAAGAGAUGGCAGUUAUUGUACAAUUAGGAAAACUACCAAUAGAGUGAGAACAAGAUGGGGCCUAAGAGGCAACCAUAAAAGGCAGCAGGAUAAAUGGCAUUUAUGUACUGAAGAACUGUGGUUGUGUAAGUCUCUCAUCAUCCUAGAACACUAAAUAAUGACAUGUUUUUUACUUUAGUUAGGCUUGACUAUAGAAUAAAAUGCUUUACUUUUCAUGUUCUUUACUUCACUUUUAGUAAUUCCUUAUCCGUAACUAUUGUUUCUUUAGUUGCAUAUCUCUGUGAUCAGCUUAGGCAUUAUACAUCUGAUGGCCUCUUUAUUUAUACAUUAAAUAUAUGGUAUUGAUUAUCUAUGCUUUAUGCUCUGCUCUGCCCAUGGCCUGGUCAUGUAGUUCUACCUUCCAUGUGAAACAUGUUCUGCCUGUGCAAUCUACAGUAUUUUGUUUCCAUUUUUCUCUAUAUCAAGAGCAUUUUUUUCAUCAUUUUAUCAUCCAGCAGGUCGAGCUUCAGGUAGUGGAAUGUAAUUCUAUUUUUUUCUCAAACUACAAUGACACGGUAGAAAAUAGUUCGACAUAUAGCUGAAGUUUUUGCUCCAUCAGACCAUUUGAAAUUGGUUAUGCUACUACAUUUUACUAUUGAUUUGAGAUGCCUUAUUCCUAGAUAGUGACUAUCUAAAUUAUUGACAUCCACUCAAAUAAAUAUACAAGAGUUAUAUGAAAAGAAAUCACUCUUAUCUUUUGAACAAGAAAUUAUAAAUGAAGAUGCAAUUAACCAAUCUUUAGCGGCAUAAAUGUUCAGGUCGCACAUGCAUGCCAGAACACUGUCGGGUGGUCUUACAAAAGACAACUACUUUCACAUCAGUAAUAUCUUCUGUUAGAGAUAUUCCACAACCCUUCUUGCUAGCUCCAGUCAUUUAAUUACUAUUUUAUCCACCAUAUUUUAUGCUUUUCAUUCCUAAUUUUUUGGUCACAAGAAAUUGUAGUUAAAGCGUAUACACACCUAGAGUGUAAGUCGCAAGAAACUGUAGUUAAAGUCUAUGCACGCCUACAGUGCAAGAAACAAAACGAGCCUAAAAUACUGAUUGUUUAUAGCCUGAUCUCGUUGUAGUGUUGAAUCCUUGCAUGUCUAUUUUCAGUAUAUCUCAUUGUUAGAACCGUGGAUUAAAUGGAGCCUCCUCAGGGCAUAAGCAUUAGUGAGGUGAAAUAUGUAGAGUUUGGAUUGAUUUACAGGUUGUACUAAUGAACACACUAAGGUGGGCUUAUAUUUCCUGUUUGGUAUGCAAUCAUAUGGCAAACGUGUUUUGACGAAACUUUGGGCCAGAAACACCUUCCCCUGAUCUCCUGAAUUAUGUGUCAUCUAUUGCCACCUGAUAAAAAGGCAAUCCAUGGCUGUCUAUAUCCCUCAGAAAUCUAUGGCCUUCUCUCCUGCGUUGUUGCUUCUCCGCCGCGUGGUUGCCGCCUCUUCUUUCUCUUGAUGUGAGACUGCUCUAUUUUGCUUCUCACUGCCGUGGAUCCUCAUGGCGGCACAUGACAACAAUCUCUCUUUUCUCUUUACACCACCAUGAAUUCCUCAUGGCAACGCAUGGCCAUCACUUCCUCAGAAAGUAGACAUCGAUUAGACAGAGGAAGGAGAAGCGGUCGUCGGAGCGAUGCCGAACCAUGAGGAGCUACAUGGUGAGACACACAUCACACACAUAUCCUACGGGGGUAUGCACAUAAUCACUAUUUUUUUCUCUACACCAUUAGAGUUGUGAAACAACCCAUUAUUUCGGAGAUAAAAUGCAGUCAUAAACCUAUACUUGAGACUAAUAUUUUUCUUUGUGGAGAAUAGACAAAAUGGGGAAAGCCCAUGGCAGCCGCUUCAUUUUUUACCUGCUACUAUCUGUGCUCUGAGCAAUGUACUGGUUUUGUGUAACUUCAUCUUACAUAUAGGUAUAUUCUCACAUUGGACUGGAUUAUUGCUACAAUUUGGUUGAUUCAGACAUCCAGUAUCUUGAAUGGCUUUCGCUGCUGGGCAAAUCAAGCGAUGGAAGGCCUCCCAGCAUUUUGGAGACAUAUUCCUCGAAUGAGAGACUAUGAUUGUUUGUGUUUGUAGACGACGGAGGGGAGUGCGUCACACCGCUGCCCUGUUUCUCUUUGCUGUCGCCUACUCGGCUUAGGGCGCUCGUUUGUACCAAUGCUGCAGGGUGCCAUGAUGCCAUGUGCCACAUUGUGCAGAACAAGGAGAUAUUGUCGAGGCGGAACCAUGACGAUUGUGGAGUCCAUGAUCAUUAGUUCAUCAUCAACAAGUAGAAGAAGUCGGUAUAGCUUUGCCAUGGCGAGGUUCUCACCUGCUUUGCGAGUAUUUUUUUUUAUAUGCUCUGACUUAAAAUUGGUUUUGUGGCAUCAUGGAUAAGGCAAAUAUGACAAUUGUCUCUACGGUUAUGUUUUUACUGGCCCAUUAUAACCUCUGUUCGAUAAUUUGCAACAGGCUCACAUGGUAAGGGUGUCCUAAACUGAUCAUGUUUCUUGUGAAAAGCCACCUUGAAUCGAAUAUGAAUAGUGUUCUAUCAAGUUGGAUAUAAUGUCACUGUAUUGUAAAUAAGUUAUUGUAUGCUGCAAUUCUUCUUUGUUUUGGUAUAAUGUUGUAAACCUGCGCACUUUUCCCUUUCAUCAUGUCAAUGUAUCAAAUUUGAAGCAUGACCUACUGUGUUAAA